rnacentral:rRNA from 1 species
UACGUAGGGGGCAAGCGUUAUCCGGAUUUACUGGGUGUAAAGGGAGCGUAGACGGCAGCGCAAGUCUGGAGUGAAAUGCCGGGGCCCAACCCCGGAACUGCUCUGGAAACUGUGAAGCUGGAGUGCAGGAGAGGUAAGCGGAAUUCCUAGUGUAGCGGUGAAAUGCGUAGAUAUUAGGAAGAACACCAGUGGCGAAGGCGGCUUUCUGGACUGAAACUGACGCUGAGGCACGAAAGCGUGGGGAGCGAACAGG